GCCAGCAGCCAUAUCACCCUGCAACUCACUGAAGUUUAGCAGGUGUGAGCCUGGCCAGUACCUGGAUGAGAGACCUCCUGGGAAAAAGUAAGGUUGCUGCUUGGA
rnacentral:rRNA from 1 species